UGGGGAAUUUUGGACAAUGGGCGAAAGCCUGAUCCAGCAAUGCCGCGUGUGUGAAGAAGGCCUUCGGGUUGUAAAGCACUUUUGUCCGGAAAGAAAUCCUUGGCUCUAAUACAGUCGGGGGAUGACGGUACCGGAAGAAUAAGCACCGGCUAACUACGUGCCAGCAGCCGCGGUAAUACGUAGGGUGCAAGCGUUAAUCGGAAUUACUGGGCGUAAAGCGUGCGCAGGCGGUUUGCUAAGACCGAUGUGAAAUCCCCGGGCUCAACCUGGGAACUGCAUUGGUGACUGGCAGGCUAGAGUAUGGCAGAGGGGGGUAGAAUUCCACGUGUAGCAGUGAAAUGCGUAGAGAUGUGGAGGAAUACCGAUGGCGAAGGCAGCCCCCUGGGCAAUACUGACGCUCAUGCACGAAAGCGUGGGGAGCAAACAGGAUUAGAUACCCUGGUAGUCCACGCCCUAAACGAUGUCAACUAGUUGUUGGGGAUUCAUUUCCUUAGUAACGUAGCUAACGCGUGAAGUUGACCGCCUGGGGAGUACGGUCGCAAGAUUAAAACUCAAAUGAAUUGAC
rnacentral:rRNA from 1 species